CCUACGGGAGGCAGCAGUGGGGAAUAUUGCACAAUGGGCGCAAGCCUGAUGCAGCCAUGCCGCGUGUGUGAAGAAGGCCUUCGGGUUGUAAAGCACUUUCAGCGGGGAGGAAGGCGUUAAGGUUAAUAACCUUGUCGAUUGACGUUACCCGCAGAAGAAGCACCGGCUAACUCCGUGCCAGCAGCCGCGGUAAUACGGAGGGUGCAAGCGUUAAUCGGAAUUACUGGGCGUAAAGCGCACGCAGGCGGUCUGUCAAGUCGGAUGUGAAAUCCCCGGGCUCAACCUGGGAACUGCAUUCGAAACUGGCAGGCUAGAGUCUUGUAGAGGGGGGUAGAAUUCCAGGUGUAGCGGUGAAAUGCGUAAAGAUCUGGAGGAAUACCGGUGGCGAAGGCGGCCCCCUGGACAAAGACUGACGCUCAGGUGCGAAAGCGUGGGGAGCAAACAGGAUUAGAUACCCUUGUAGUC
rnacentral:rRNA from 1 species